rnacentral:lncRNA from 1 species
AUGCAAAUACCACAUGAGACACAUGUUAUCUCUACUACCUUUUAUUUUCUUCAACUUACACAAAAAAACUUAUACAUAUUUUAAAAUAUAGAAACAAAAAGAUUUUGUACUCCUAAAUCAUCAUCAUCUAUCAUCUGAUUUGCAAUGCAGGAUGAGUUUGUUAGGAUUUGGCAAAUUACUUACAAUAUCAACAUUUGUUGUAUAUUAGGGAAUCUAUUUGUUUGGCUUGCUUCCAUACAACCCAUGAUUUCGUACUUCGUCUUAAAAUUUCAAUUGUUCCUAAAGGUUACAAAAUUAG